CCUGGUUGAUCCUGCCAGUAGUCAUAUGCUUCUUUCAAAGAUUAAGCCAUGCAUGUCUAAGUUUAAGCAACUUUUAAACGCGAAACUGCGGAUGGCUCAUUAUAAGGGAAGUAAUCUAUUUGACGAUGACCUCACCCCUCGGGGUGUCUACACGGAUAACCGUAGUAACACUAGAGCUAAUACGUGCAUUAAACGCCCAACUCGCGAGGGAAGGGCCGUACUUGUUAGAUUUUUUCAAAACCAAUGCACGUCUUUCGGGGCGUGUUUUGUGGUGGACCAUAACAAUUGUUCGGAGCGCACAGCCUUCGUGCUGGCGCCAGGUCAUUCGAACUUCCCACCUAUCAGCUUUCGAUGGUAGUGUAGUGGACUACCAUGGCUUUGACGGGUAACGGGGAAUUAGGGUUCGAUUCCGGAGAGGGAGCCUGAGAAACGGCUACCACAUCCAAGGAAGGCAGCAGGCGCGCAAAUUACCCAAUCCUGACACAGGGAGGUAGUGACAAGAAAUACUAAUACCGGGCACUUUCGUGUCUAGUACUGGAAUGAGUACAAUUUAAACACCUUAACGAGGAACCAUUGGAGGACAAGUCUGGUGCCAGCACCCGCGGUAAUACCAGCUCCAAUAGCGUAUACUAAUGUUGCUGCAGUUAAAAAGCUCGUAGUUGGAUUUCUGGCUUUGGCGCACCCGGCCCAGCCUUUGGUUUGGGUGCCGGCGUGCGCCGGCCACUGUUCCAGGCGAUCUGCUCUGCCAUUGAUUUGGUCGGGGUAGGGAGCCUGGUCUUUCACUGUGAAUAAAUUAGAGUGUUCAAAGCAGGCCGCAGUGCCGUGAAUAGCCCAGCAUGGAAUGAUAAGAUAGGGCUUCGGGUGUGGGGGCGUUUCGGCGCUCUUGCACUUCCUUGUUUUGUUGGUUUUAAGGGCCGGAGUAAUGAUUGAUAGGGAGCGUUGGGGGUGCUAGUAUUCAAUGGCCAGAGGUAAAAUUCUUGGAUUCAUUGAAGACUAACAUCAGCGAAAGCAUUCACCAAGGAGCUUCUCUUUAAUCAAGAACGAAAGUUGGGGGAUCGAAGACGAUCAGAUACCGUCGUAGUCUCAACCAUAAACUAUGCCGACUGGGGAUCCGCCGAUGCUAGCCUAGCUCUCGGUGGGCACCCUAUGAGAAAUCAAAGUCUUUGGGCUCCGGGGGGAGUAUGGUCGCAAGGCUGAAACUUAAAGGAAUUGACGGAAGGGCACCACCAGGCGUGGAGCUUGCGGCUCAAUUUGACCUAACACGGGAAAACUUACCAGGUCCAGACUGAGGAUGGAUUGACAGAUUGAAGCUCUUUCUUGAUUCUCAGGGUGGUGGUGCAUGGCCGUUCUUAGUUGGUGGAGUGG
rnacentral:rRNA from 1 species